rnacentral:lncRNA from 1 species
CCGUGCUUAAGCAAUAAAUUAAAAGAAAAUCUGUUUUAGAAAUACAAUUCAAAGACAUAAUUACAUUAUUUUUUAUGCAAAAAUUAUCUCUUUUGGUUUUUUAAUAAUGCCCAUAAGACACUUGUUGACAUUUUCCAUAAAACAAUAUAAUCAAGAGUCAUGCUAACAAGCAUUCUAAAGAUAUUUAUUAGAGUAGUGAUAUGUAGACUAUACUACACCCUUUCAUGUGACAUUUUUUGUUAAUUAUAACGAGUUCAAUUUCAUCGAUUGACAAAAAUUGAGGGGCAACUUUCUCACCUUCAUCCUUCUCUCUCUCUUCUCUCUUUUCCUUUACCCUCUCUUCCGACUUUUUCUCCCUCUCCGGCUACAACCAUCGACCACACUCACCCACCACCGUCGCCCCGCUGUCCUCAAGCUCAAACCUCACCACCACUGUCACCCUAAUAUCUAAUCACCACAAUCACCAUCUCUUAGGCUCUCGUCUCGUCGUCACCACCAAUGUCGCUGCCACCCUCACCCUCAUGUCUCACCACCACCGUUGCCAUCCUCACCCUCAAAUCUCACAACCACAACCAUCGUCGCUCUGAGAUCUAACCACUGCCAUUGCCAUCUCUCAGAUCCAACUGUUGUUGUACACAUUUAGUCAAUUUCAUUUUAUAUUAUUCUUUGUUUGCCCCUCUCUUGUCCUACUACUUUAGUGCUUUUGCUUCAUCCUUUUCCCUCCUUUCUCGUUAGUGAUUGAAUGUGAGCAGAUUAGUGGUGCAAAAACAAUUAUUCAAGGUGUUCAAAAUGACAAAAUCAUAGGAUGGUAUAUGCAAAAAAUUUAAGUUCAGGGUGUGCAGCUGCACACCCUCAACUGUGAGUGGCUUCGUCCCUACCUCCAUCAACCCUUCGUUCCACCACCCUUCGUAAACCAUUGUCUUCAUCGUCAGGGAAUAAAGAGAUAAUACUCAGGGGGUUUAUGGUGAAGAGAGAUCAUGCUAGGGAGAGAGAAAGAUAAAUCAAACUAGGGAGAUGAAGAAAAGAGAACAAAGAGACAAGAGUUUAAGGAGACAAAGAGAAAAAUGUCUAAAACAAAACGUCACAUGGAGGUGUCUAUUGGGGGUACGAGAAAAAAAAAGGAGCCUAGGAAAAAUUACUCUAUUUGUCAAAAUAAAAAAAAAAGACAAAGGCAAAAUUAUGCAAAUAGUCCUUUAAUUAACUUAAUUUUAGGUAACAUUUUAGUCCCUUAUCUUAUUAUUUUUCCGUUUUCUUCCUUUAUCUUUUUAAAUAGUUUCAAUGUUACCUUUCCGUUAAAAAAUAUGAUUUAGACUAUCCUUUUAUUUUAAUAGUUUCUUUUGCUUACCCUUUCAUUUCUUCACACAAAAUAAGCAACUAUUUAUGAAAACCCAUAAGAAGAGAAAAAUGCACAUUGAAGAAGAAAAAGAGAAAAACACAUGCACAAACCCAUAACCAGAUGCCACCCAAUACGAUAUGAGACUAAGAAUUUGUAACAAGUUAUUUGUGUAUUUGUUUCUAAAGUUUAGAUUCUCUAUAUUUCUAAAGUUUUGAUUCUGAACGUGACCCUUUCUAUGUAUGUUUCACAUCCUGCAGAAAUAUUCACGUGGUAGACUUGAAAAGAAGGAACCAAAAAAAUAAAUGUGUGUGAACCUUGUGUGCGUGAGGAUGCCAUGUCUUUCAAGAUUUGAUUUUUAGGGUUUAUGUUGGAGCUGCAUCAUAAUUACCAUUGGAGAAGAAGGCUUGUUAAAAAAAAAUGUUAGAGAAGAAGAAGAUAACCUGAGAUUUCUUUUUUUUAAUAGAAUGGGUAACAUAAUCCACUUAAAAUGUAAUCGUGAAAAUAUUUAAAAAGAUAAAGGACCAAAACGAAAAAAUAAAAAGAUAAAGAAUUAAAAUGUUACCUAAGGGGCCAUUUGCAUAAUACUGUAUAUGUGUAUAUACAGGUGCAGUCUAACAUGAGGGAGCCAACAGGUCCCUCAUGACAUGAGGGAUCAAAAGAUGCUUUUUUUAUUUUUUAUUUUUUAUUUUUUAUUUUUACCUUAGCA